AUUGAACGCUGGCGGCAGGCCUAACACAUGCAAGUCGAACGAGUGGCGGACGGGUGAGUAAUGUCUGGGAAACUGCCUGAUGGAGGGGGAUAACUACUGGAAACGGUAGCUAAUACCGCAUACCAUCAGAUGUGCCCAGAUGGGAGUAGCUAGUAGGUGGGGGAACGGCUCACCUAGGCGAAGAUCCCUAGCUGGUCUGUGAGGAUGACCAGCCAGACUGGAACGUAGACACGGUCCAGACUCCUACGGGAGGCAUCAGUGGGGAAUAGUGCACAAUGGGCGCAAGCCUGAUGCAGCCAUGCCGCGUGUAUGAAGAAGGCCUUCGGGUUGUAAAGUACUUUCAGCGGGGAGGCGUUACCCGCAGAAGAAGCACCGGCUAACUCCGUGCCAGCAGCCGCGGUAAUUC
rnacentral:rRNA from 1 species